rnacentral:piRNA from 1 species
UGCAGACUGUAGCAUGCCCGCGGUGA